UCUCAGGCCGUAUCAGCCUGAAGGCGCCCGAUCUCGUCUGAUCUCGGAAGCUAAGCAGGGUCGGGCCUGGUUAGUAUCCUUGGAUGGGAGACCACCUGGGAAUCCCGGGUGCUUCGAGGC
rnacentral:rRNA from 1 species